UAGCCUCUCCUAGGCUUUGUCUGUUACCUUCCUUGGGAAUUCCACUAGCCAGACAUAGCCUGACAGAGGUUAGG
rnacentral:pre_miRNA from 1 species